rnacentral:rRNA from 1 species
GACGAACGCUGGCGGCGUGCUUAACACAUGCAAGUCGAACGGAAAGGCUCCAGCUUGCUGGAGUACUCGAGUGGCGAACGGGUGAGUAACACGUGGGUGAUCUGCCCUGCACUUCGGGAUAAGCCUGGGAAACUGGGUCUAAUACCGGAUAGGACCGCACUUUGGUGUGUGCGGUGGAAAGGUUUUUCUGGUGUGGGAUGAGCUCGCGGCCUAUCAGUUUGUUGGUGGGGGAAUGGCCUACCAAGACGGCGACGGGUAGCCGGCCUGAGAGGGUGGACGGUCACAUUGGGACUGAGAUACGGCCCAGACUCCUACGGGAGGCAGCAGUGGGGAAUAUUGCACAAUGGGGGAGACCCUGAUGCAGCGACGCCGCGUGGGGGAUGAAGGCCUUCGGGUUGUAAACUCCUUUCGCUAGGGACGAAGCUUUUUGUGACGGUACCUGGAGAAGAAGCACCGGCUAACUACGUG